UACGGGAGGCAGCAGGGAAUCUUCCGCAAUGGACGAAAGUCUGACGGAGCAACGCCGCGUGAACGAUGAAGGCUUUCGGGUCGUAAAGUUCUGUUGUUGGGGAAGAACAAGUACCAGAGUAACUGCUGGUACCUUGACGGUACCUAACCAGAAAGCCACGGCUAACUACGUGCCAGCAGCCGCGGUAAUACGUAGGUGGCAAGCGUUGUCCGGAAUUAUUGGGCGUAAAGCGCGCGCAGGUGGUUCUUUAAGUCUGAUGUGAAAGCCCACGGCUCAACCGUGAGGGUCAUUGGAAACUGGGGAACUUGAGUGCAGAAGAGGAAAGUGGAAUUCCACGUGUAGCGGUGAAAUGCGUAGAGAUGUGGAGGAACACCAGUGGCGAAGGCGACUUUUCUGGUCUGUAACUGACACUGAGGCGCGAAAGCGUGGGGAGCGAACAGGGAUUAGAUACC
rnacentral:rRNA from 1 species